rnacentral:tRNA from 1 species
GCGCUGGUAGUCUAGUGGUAUGACAGCUGCCUGCCACGCAGCGGGCCCGGGUCCGAUUCCCGGCCGGCGCA